ACCUCUUGUCUUCAAAGGUGGACACCACUCUGCUGAUCAAAGAGUUGAUCAGCAGAGCUCAGAGGUUCCCAGUGGUCAGUCUGCCCAGCAGCAUCAAACAGACCUGGACUCCAUAUUUAUGCUGCUCCAGGAAAACAUUGGCAGGUUUGUGAAGAACGAGGUGAAGAAGUUCCAGAGAGUUCUGGGUCCAGAUUACCCAGCAUGCUUAGAGAGUCA